rnacentral:other from 1 species
UUUGCCCUGCUGUAUUUGUGACGUGGUCAUACAUCUCUUACCUAUGAUUAAUGGCACAGGCAGUCGGAUUACGUGGUGGGCGUGAUUGUCUUAACUGACGAACCCGAAGCUACAUUGAUGGCUGCCAAAUUUUGAACUUUAGGGUUCGAGGUGCCGACCUUGACGGUACGUUGCGGGGCAAUU